UACGAGGGGGGCGAGCGUUGUUCGGAAUUAUUGGGCGUAAAGCGUGCGCAGGCGGUUUUGUAAGCCAGGUGUGAAAUCCCCGGGCUCAACCUGGGAAUGGCAUUUGGGACUGCAAGGCUGGAGUGCGGCAGAGGAGACUGGAAUUCCUGGUGUAGCAGUGAAAUGCGUAGAUAUCAGGAGGAACACCGAUGGCGAAGGCAGGUCUCUGGGCUGACACUGACGCUCAUGCACGAAAGCGUGGGGAGCAAACAGGAUUAGAGUACCCUG
rnacentral:rRNA from 1 species